UCCAACAAACUGGACUUGGAGGGUUUAUUCCCUGAUUUCUGGUGGUGUUUUCCCACAGGAGACCCGUCGGCUCCUCCUCCACAAACCCCCGUCCCCGCGAUCCCGACGGAGCCGCGCACGGAGAGCACCACCCGGGGGGGUGAGCAACUCAAAAAUUUCGGGAUUUUUGGGAGCCACAAACCACCCCCCUCCGUGGUGUGGGAAGCGAAAUAUUCCAACGGCACGGCUGAAUCCAUGAAAUCCCUCCCAUGGAAUGGCACCGCUUUGGGGGCCGCUGGAUUUGGGGCGUUGUGUUUUUCGAUUUUGGAAUUGGAAAUGGAAUUCAAAUGGAAUUUUACACCCUUUUCCCUGCAGGAACCAGCCCCACUUCCAGCCCUUCUCCGGCGGGAAAGCCCGGAGCUGACGGGACACACCUGGAGACAUCCACACCGGGAGAGGGGACAACCCCGCUGCCCAAUGCCCCCUCGGACAAUGCCACAGGUUGGGAUGCUCCCCACGGGAAUAUACCCCCCCUCUCCCGGGGAUAAUUCCAUCCAGGAAAAAAGCUCUUUUUCUUUUCCCCGCGGAUUUUUUUUUCCUUCUCCCCAAAACUCCUUAGCGACGCUCUUCCCACUAUCCCGACUUUUCCAGCUAAAAAAAAGGUUUCUCCCUUCUUUUCCAGCUUCCAGCCAGACCUUGGCCUAUUCCAUCGGUAAGACGAGCUUGUUUUGGGAAGCAGGGGCUCAUUUUCCAUAUUUUUUAAGCUUCCAAGCCCUCGGGGCCGUGGGAGCUUUUAUUCCCUGGGAAUGUCACCGAGGUGGGAAGGAGGCAGCACCCAAACUUCUCCCUGGAAAAGAGAAUUCCCAGUUUUAUCCCUGCCAGGGUGGGGAGGGCACCUUGGGACUGCAUCCAAGGCUCUUUGUGGAGCUGUUUUGUUUGGAGCCGGGCUGUGCCCUCAUCCAUGAGCUGGAAGAUGCUCAUCCAUCCCUGUGGCUUUUCCACAGGGUUCCCGGCGCUCCUGGUCACCGGAAUCGUGGCCUCCUUCUGCUGCUGCCGGAGGAGGAAAAGGUAAGUAUUCCCAACCCCACCGGGUCUUCCCGCCCCAGGGACGAGUUUUCCUCGGCCUCCACCCAAGGAAAGGCCUUGGAAUGCGGGGGAUGCUCCUCCUCCCUUCCACAGGCGCCCACGGCAGGGCUAUGAUGUGACACCCGGGGACAUUCCCAUGGCGGCUCCCGCCCCCGGGAAUGAGG
rnacentral:lncRNA from 1 species